rnacentral:rRNA from 1 species
GACAGAGGGGGCAAGCGUUGCUCGGAAGUACUGGGCGUAAAGGGCGCGUAGGCGGGAUGGCAAGUCGGUCGUGAAAUCCCUCGGCUCAACCGAGGAACGUCGAUCGAUACUGCUGUUCUUGAGGAUUGCAGAGGAGACUGGAAUUCCCGGUGUAGCGGUGAAAUGUGUAGAGAUCGGGAGGAACACCGGUGGCGAAGGCGGGUCUCUGGGCAAUUCCUGACGCUGAGACACGAAAGCGUGGGUAGCAAACAGG